GACUCGGUGGCGGACGGCCCGCGUCUGCAAGUUGUUCUUGAUUCUGAGUUUGAUGCAGCAGAAGGUGCCCGUUCGACUCGGGCCCGAGUCA